ensembl:lncRNA
GUAGUUUCUAUAGCGCUGCUUCAGCCUCAGGCUGACUCGGGGUUGUGGUUCUUCCCAGUUCCUCCCCUCUGUUCUCAUGCACAGUUUGAUUUAACCUACAAAAUCCCCGCUGAAUGUGAACAGGCACCUCUUUUUAACAGGUGGCUGCAACCUUCAGCAAGCUCUUGAGGUGUUGGCCAGAGAUUUCUGAUGAAAUUUCAUUCUUCCUGUGCUUCAUCCUUCCAAACAGUUGUUCACAAAUGUACAUCCUGACGUACAUCAAAAAGGGAUGACCUGAUUAAGUGUGGUGAGGCCUUGAACUGACAGACUCCAGUUACAUCUGUAAGGACUUACCAAUCAUCACUGCCUCUAUAUUUGAAUUUCAUGCCCACCCAUUUGCACAGCUAGGAGUUGGAACGAAAUGUUCUUUAAGGUCCUUUCCACCUCAAGCCAUUCCAUGAUAAACCAGAGUCAGCUGGGAGCUUUCUGAUCUUUGAUGCUUACUGAAGACCAACCUCUUUGUCAAGUCUGCUUCUUUUACUAUCCGUAAGCUCCAUGUCUUGCCACAGUACCAUCUCCCUUAAAAAAAGAAAAAGAAAAAAGAAAAUGAAUGCUGCUGUAUUCAGAGGUUAGAAAAUAAAAGGUCGUUUUUCUGGGCAGCAUGAAAAAAGUUAUCUUACAACUGUUACCUGCCUUUCCCUGUUUGCGAAUGAAGAGUAAUGAUAUCUCCCCAAUGAGGUGCUCUGAGAGCUCGUGUUGAAAGCACCAUUCAGGACUCAGGUUUGUUGUUACAAGAACAGAAAUUCCCUACCAAGUGUAGUAAUAGAUACACAGAUACUAAUAGCCACUAGGAAUUCUCUAAACCAAACUCACUCCAUCUUGUCAAAGAUGCUAUUCCUGGCAACUAUUCUGGAGCUGUUUCUUCAGCCCAAACCCACACAUUAAUUAUUUUUAAUUGCAGGAAAACUGCUGAAAUUUCCAUGUCAGUUAACUGUACCCAUUUAUGCACGCUGUAUUGGAAAUAUAAGGUAAUUGAAAACAUGGUAUUUCCAGGUUUUAUUUACAAGGGGAAGAUUUCCACAGUAGCUAUUAUGGAAGCAUCUUUUAUAUUAUCAAUGGCUGUAUCUAUUUUCAUUAGAAAAAUUGCAAAAUAUGUUCAAGUGUAGACACUUUGAUUCUGAAAUAAAAGACAUUCCCUAAUAACUGCUGUGUUUUCACAGCAG